rnacentral:lncRNA from 1 species
UAUCUUCAACCUACUCGCCGAGUAGGUUCAUGCACUCGACGAGUAGGGUCGACAGAGUGCAGUUUUUCGACUUUAGUUGCUGGAAAUGGAUUAGAAACAUUACCCUAAACUGUUUUGGUACUUGAAAACUUGUUUUAGAAGGUGUAAUGUCUUUUCUAACUCAUUUACAACAACUAGUUAUCAAAAUUACAAAGAUUAAGUGUGAUUUUGAUAUAUGAAAGUGUUCAUGUUCAUGAUCUUGUUCUUAUGAUGUUUAGAUGAUCAUAGGAAUUAUUUGUAACCUAUGUGGUAGUUUAAUUCUUGAUCAUAAUGUUUUUUAAUGGAGUCCAUAACUUGUCCUCAAGUUAUGGAAAACCAAAAGUCUCUUGGAUUAAAAACCAUUAAAAGAACACAAGAGUUAGAAAAAAUGAAAAGUCCUCAUUUUAUUACUCUAUUAAACUCAUAAGUUACAAGAUAUGAAAAGUUUUGAAAGUUUACAAAACUUGCCCUCAAGUUUUGGAACAAGUAAAGUUAAGUUAAAACUUUAGUUCCAACCCUUAGAAUUUUAAAAGUUAAAAUUCAACCCUUAUACUUAUAUUAUUAUGAUUUAAUAAUUAUAUAUAUAUGUAUAAGAACAAAGUCGUCUUACCGCUAGUACGCCUCAUUCACGAAGCCGGUCUAUAAGGUGGGUAUAAGGUUGUUGCCUAUAAAAUGGUGACUUAAUGGGUGUCCACUCUCACCCACCGCUUGCUUGAUCGGUGGAGGGUCGUUAGCCGAACGGGUAAGACAAGGACUUAUUAAUUCUCAUUCAAAGUAUGAUGAAUAUUAUAAAGUAACUAAAUGUUUUAUUAAAUUCCCAAUCUUAGUUACUUUAGGAAAAAUGUGAAUAAGGUGCUAUUCCAUGAAAUUACACUUUACACUUUGAUUAAGUCGUUGGUGGAGCGUGUGUGGUUAACCGGCACACUAACUUGGACUUAACAAGGUAGGUAAAGGGUGACUUAGGGUUUAUUAUAGUAUCGAUGGAGCGUGUGUGGUUAACCGGCACAUCGAUUGAGUGAUAAACUUUAAGGGUACCAAGUGAUUUGCAUGGUUACUUCACACCUCGUUUUGUGAUCCUCGGUAUCCCAGUCACAAAACUUGGAGGGCACACUCGAGAUUGAAACAUGCCUUUGAAAAGUUCAUUGAAUCUCAAAGAAUCUAGGAAUUUCUAAGAACCAUUCAAAAACCUAAUACUAAAAUAUUGCGGUUUUCGUGGUGGAAAUUGGUGAAUCGUCAUUCACCUACCUUUCAAAUAUGAUAUAGCUUAGAUUACGGCAUACCUCUUCUAAGUUAUAUUAUAUUGUGAUUGGAUCCUAGCCUUAAUAUUACAUUUGGGUGUUUUAUUAAGGACUCUCUUAUAUCUAAACUAAUCUUGUCCUCUUUCCUUCAGAUGUCUUUCAACAAUGCUUCUGGCUCUAAUCCUAAUGGCUCCUUUACCCUUAUGAACUUGUGUGGGAAAGUCACCUUUGAUGGAUCCAACUUCAAUGAGUGGAUCAGAAACAUCAGGAUGAUUACCCGCUACGAGGACAAAGAAUAUGUCCUUGACAAGGAGCUUAAGGAGAUUGAUGAGUCCACUGCAACUCCUCAGGAGAUCGCUGAAUUUCGGGCACAUGAAAGGGAUGCUACGAAAGUGGCUUGCAUCAUGAUGGCCACGAUGACAGCGGAACUCCAAAAGUCUUAUGAGGAUUUCUACCCUUAUGAAAUGCACCAAGAUUUGAUGGAAAGAUACCAUCAAAGUGCAAGACAAGAGAGGUAUGAAAUCAUCUGCUCCAUGAUAACAACCAUGAUGAAGGACGGGGAAUCCGUCACGAGCCACAUGCAGAAAAUGCAAAGGUAUGUGGAUCGUUUGCUGAAGCUUAAUGUGAACUUCCCGGAGGAUCUUGCAAUAGAUAUUAUUUUGCAUUCCUUACCAUCGUGCUAUGAUCAAUUCCGCAUGACAUAUCACAUGAACAAGGAAGAAGUCACCCUCAGCAAACUUCAGGGACUUCUCAAGACCGCAGAAUCAGGUCUUAAGGGGAAGUCGGUUGCUAUCACUCCUACUCAAAACUCUACUCCGGUUUUGGCAAUCGGGAAAAGUCGAGGGAGGAAGAGAAAGAGCUCUUCUAAGGGUACCAAGGUUCGGACCCUUGAUGGCUCUUCUUCAAGUGGAACCAAGAAAGGUUUCAUUACUCCUUCUUCUGACCCAAAAGAGGCUGAAUGCUUCUAUUGCCAUGAAAAAGCUCAUUGGAAGCGGAACUGCCCAAAAUACCAGCAAGAUGUGAAGGAUGGGAAAGUUAAACCCAACCAUGCAGGUAUUUACACUAUCAUUUCUAAUAACUCACCCCAUUCUAAUUCUUGGGUCCUUGAUACCGGGUGUGGUAUUCACAUUUGUUGUGACUUGCAGGGACUAAGAAGAAGUGAGGAUGUGGAGCAAGGAAGGAUAAACUUGAUCAUGGGGAAUAGGAAAGCUAUACCUGUUACCAAGAUUGGAGUUUAUACUUUAUCGCUAAGUAGUGGGUUUAGUUUAGAUUUGAAUAAGUGUUGUUAUUCGCCAGGAAUGGCAAGAAAUAUUAUUUCCUUUCAUGCUUUGUACAAACAAGGGUUUACCUUUUCAUUUAAUAAUGAAGUUGGUUCUAUAGAUGUUUUCUAUAAUAAUGUCUUUUAUUUUAAAGCAUUACCUUGUGAUGGUGUGUAUGAAGCUGUAUCUGUUGUAGAUAACUUGGGAAAUAAUGUUUUGUGUAUUGAUUCUACUAAUAAUAACUUGGAUAAAGCAUCUUUAUGGCAUUGUCGUCUUGGACAUAUAAGCAAGAAACGCAUAGGCCAACUCCAAAAGGAUGGAGUCUUGGAGUCGUUUGACCUAAAGUCAGAUGAUAGUUGCGAAUCAUGCUUACUUGGAAAAAUGACAAAGUCACCCUUCACAGGUUCGUGUGAGAGGGGUGAAGGUUUGUUGGACCUUAUACACACGGAUGUGUGUGGACCAUUCAAACAUGCCACAAGGGAUGCUAAUCGUUAUUAUUUGACUUUUACUGAUGAUUAUAGUAGAUAUGGAUAUGUCUACUUGAUCAAGCAUAAGUCAGAGACUUUCGAGAGGUUUAAGGAAUUUAAACAGGAAGUCGAGAAUCAAUUGGGCAGGAACAUUAAGAUGCUUCGAUCCGAUCGUGGUGGUGAGUAUCUUAGUUCAGAGUUCCUCGACUAUCUAAGGGAAUGUGGGAUAGUCUCACAAUUGACACCUCCCAGGACACCACAGUUGAAUGGUGUGGCUGAGAGGCGUAAUCGAACCUUGUUAGAUAUGGUUCGUUCCAUGAUGAGUCGAGCUACGCUACCAAUCUCAUUCUGGGGGUAUGCCUUAGAGACUGCCGCCCAUAUUCUUAAUCUAGUCCCUACAAAGAAAGUUGCCAAAACUCCUCACGAGAUGUGGACUGGUAAAGUACCUAAACUAGACCACAUCAAGAUUUGGGGUUGCGAGGCUUUCGUGAGACGCGAGACUCAUGAUAAGCUCGAACCUCGAAGCGAGAGGUGUAUUUUCAUCGGUUACCCACAGCGAUCCUUUGGUUACCUCUUCUACAGACCUAGUGACAAUGUGGUCUUUGUAGCAAGAAGAGGAGUCUUUCGAGAAAGAGAGUUUAUAAGCCAAGGAGACAGUGGGAGGCAAAUUGAUCUUGAAGAAAUUCAAGAAUCAAGCGGUGAAGGAACUUCAAACUCUAGCCCUCAACUUGAGGAGGAAACUCCUGUUGAGCCAAUUGACAAAUCUGUACCUCUGAGACGUUCCACGAGAGUUAGGAGUGCACCUGAGCAUUACUAUGGAUUCCAUAUUACUGCAGAAGGUGAGACACUUAUUAGUGAUGAGACACUAGUAAGUCAAGAUGACCCUAACAGCUACGAGGAAGCCAUGGCAGGCCCCGAGUCUGCUAAAUGGAAAGAGGCUAUGGAUAGCGAGAUACAAUCCAUGUAUGACAAUCAAGUUUGGAACUUGGUUGAAAAUGUACCAGGUCGUAAGACAGUAGGGUGCAAAUGGGUCUUCAAGAAGAAGACCGACAUGGAUGGUAAAGUACACACUUAUAAGGCUAGACUGGUUGCAAAGGGCUUCUCUCAAAUUCCUGGAGUGGAUUAUGAUGAGACCUUUUCUCCGGUAGCCAAGAUUAAGUCUAUUCGGGUUCUGUUAGCCAUAGCUGCAUUUCAUGACUAUGAAAUAUGGCAGAUGGAUGUCAAAACCGCUUUCCUUAAUGGAAAGUUGGCUGAAGAUGUUUACAUGAGUCAGCCAGAGGGUUUUGUCAGCAACGAGUACCCUAAUAGAGUGUGUAAGCUUGAGAAAUCCAUUUAUGGAUUGAAGCAAGCACCUCGCAGAUGGAAUCUUUGCUUUGAUGAAAAGGUCAAGGAAUUUGGCUUUUCUAGGAGUGAAGAUGAAUCUUGUGUGUAUGUCAAGGCUAGUGGGAGUAUAGUUAGCUUUUUGGUAUUGUAUGUGGAUGACAUACUACUCAUAGGAAACGACAUUCCAACCCUGCAGGAAGUAAAGUCCUGGCUUGGGAAGUGUUUCGCUAUGAAGGACCUUGGUGAAGCUGCCUAUAUUCUAGGGAUAAGAAUCUUGAGAGAUCGGAGUAAAAGACUAAUUGGACUUAGUCAGAGUACCUACUUGGAUAAGGUGCUGAAGAGAUUCAGCAUGCAGGAUUCCAAGAAAGGAGAGUUACCCAUCCAGAGUAACACCAGAUUGAGUAAGACACAAAGCCCUAGCACUGAGGCUGAGAUAGCAGAAAUGAGUCGAACACCUUACGCUUCGGCUGUAGGAUCGAUCAUGUAUGCUAUGACGUGUACUCGACCCGAUGUAGCUUUUGCCUUGAGCAUGGUUAGCAGGUAUCAGGCGAACCCUGGCAAGGCACACUGGACUGCGGUAAAGAAUAUCCUCAAGUACCUACGGAGGACUAAGGACUGGGUCCUUACCCUCGGUGGGAGUGAUGACUUGAGAGUUGUAGGGUAUAGUGAUGCUAGCUUCCAGACUGAUAGGGAUAAUUUCCGCUCUCAGUCGGGCUGGGUCUUUACCCUAAACGGAGGAGCAAUUUCUUGGAAGAGUUCCAAGCAAGAGACAGUGGCAGAUUCUACUUGUGAAUCAGAGUAUAUUGCAGCUAGCGAAGCAGCAAAGGAGGCGAUAUGGCUGAAGAACUUCAUUGGAGACCUUGGAGUUGUACCAGCUAUUAAAGAGCCAAUGGAAAUUUUCUGUGAUAGUGAAAGUGCUGUUGCCUUAGCCAAGGAACCAAGGGAUCAUGGGAGAUCCAGACACAUCGACAGAAAAUACCAUUUCAUUAGACAUCGGAUCGAAGAAGGACUCCUCGUGGCAAAGAGGGUAUCAUCGGAUGAGAACCCAGCAGAUCCCCUCACGAAGGGACUGAGUAGGGUUAAGCAUCUCCAGCAUGCUCGGAGCAUAGGGCUGAAGGAUGAUAUAAGUUUUAGUAGUUAGAUAACCCAGAAAUUUGUAAAGUGUAAUUGACAUUUGAUGAUGAAUAAAAGGUGUUUUAUUUAUGAGUAAAGUGUUGCUAUCUCUUGUCAAUCGUUUACUAUAUUUCUUUUGCAUGUUUUGACUUCCAGAAUAAUUUUGUUUGGUGUAACAUAUUAUUCAAACCUCCACAGUCGGUCAUAUGUCGGAAGUAGGUAUGAAUCAAGACUGUCAUGAUGGGUUGUAGAGGUCUAAGGUGUUGGACAAGGCUACAACAAUCAUGAGUGCUCAUAAGUUCUGAGCAUUGGACUCAACCCACGCUCACUGGAAUCACUUCAUGGAAUUCUAUCUCGAGUGAUCGUGAGACGGUAAUAUCAUAUAAGUCUUCAAACCUAGAGAUAUGAUUUGUUACUUACAAGUUGGUUAUGCAUUGACUGUACGAAACCGCAUUGGUAACUCGAUGUUAUAAAACGUACUUUUGUGUGUAAUUCAAUGAGUGGUAGAACAAACAUAUGAGUCGAAGUUUAUCUGUUCCUUCUUGGAUUAGAAGCUGAUAUCUGGGCCCCUCGAUGAUUUUGUUUUGACCCAUGUACCGGGCCCGGUCAGAACUAAGUUGAUGUGUUCAAUUAAGUUCUAUGUCAAACAAAUCGGAAAUCGGGAAACAAAUGCUGGACAAUAAGCAAGACAAUGUUCCAUGUAUUUGUCCGGCUGAUAUCUAGAACGGAGGAUUAUAUGAUCACUUAUCUUAAAUGGCGUACCAUCAUCUUCUCAGUUCCGAGAGACCUUGAAAGAGCUACGAUUGCCGGUCGGUUCCUGAAGUACUAGAGAUAUAGUUAUUAGACUUAUCCAAGUGGGAGACUGUUGGAUAAGGUGUCUAAGUCCAUAACUAUUUCGGGCUUGUACUUGACCCGACCCGGCAUGGUCCAUUUGGGUUGCAUGGCACCAUGCAAUUGGAUAGACUAAAUGAGAGAAAUAACACUUGGAGAUUAUUAAUAUAUUAUAAGUUCUAAUAUAUUAAUAAUAUUAUUUGAUUAGUUGAUCAAAGAAUUAAUUUGGAAUUAAUUAAGUGAUCAAAGGAUAACUAAUUAAAUAUAUGGGUUGAUUAUGUAAAUCAUCCAUAUCUUGUAUAGUGGGCUAAGAGGCUCCAUGGAUUAUCAAGUUGGGUUCUACCCAUAGGAUGCUCCAUGGAUGCUCCAUGGGAGUUACAAACCCAUGGGUCAUGGAAAUGAAGAGUCAUGACACAUUAGGGUUUACAUGGUGUAACCCUAGAUGUGUCAACACUAUAUAAGAAUCAUAUUCUCCACCAAAAUCGGCUACACUAAGAAACUAGAGGGCUUGGCCGAUUUUGAGAAGUGUGUGUUAUCUCAAGAGUCUUUCCAAGAGCAUUUGGUGUUGUGUGAAGCAUUUGAGGCAUCACACUUGGGGUGCUAGGCUCACAAGGUUUCAAGGAACACAAGCAACAACAAGGUAAGUUAUUCUAUCUAUGAUUCAAGUUAAAAUUGUUCCCCAUGUAUGCUAGAUAGGAAUAUAACCUUGGAAUUCAACUUUGCAUGAUAAUUAGACAAACAUAGAUCCAAGGUUAUUAGGGUUGCAUGUACACUUAGGAAGUGUUAGAAUGCUCAAAACCCAUCAGUGGUAUCAGAGCCUAGGCUUGUUUGUUUGUUAUUUGUGCUUAAAAGUUGAAGAAAGUCGAAAAUCUUGCUGUCUGACUGAUGGACUCGGCGAGUCCAUGGGGAGGACUCGUCGAGUUCAUGUGUAUCUUCAACCUACUCGGCGAGUAGGUUUAUGCACUCGGCGAGUAGGGUCGACAGAGUGCAGAAUUUCGACUUGAGUUGCUGGAAAUGGAUUAGAAUCAUUACCCUAAAAUGUUUUGGUACUUGAAAACUUAUUUUAGAAGGUGUAAUGUCUUUUCUAACUCAUUUACAACAACUAGUUAUCAAAAUUACAAAGAUUAAAUGUGAUUUUGAUUCUUGAAAGUGUUCAUAUUCAUAUUCUUGUUCUUAUGAUGUUUAGAUGAUCAUAGGAAUUAUUUGUAACCUAUGUGGUAGAUUAAUUCAUGAUCAUAAUGUGUUUUAAUGGAGUCCAUAACUUGUCCUCAAGUUAUGGAAAACCAAAAGUCUCUUGGAUUAAAAACCAUUAAAAGAACACAAGAGUUAGGAAAAAUGAAAAGUCCUCAUUUUAUUACUCUAUUAAACUCAUAAGUUACAAGAAAUGAAAAGUUUUGAAAGUUUACAAAACUUGCCCUCAAGUUUUGGAACAAGUAAAGUUAAGUUAAAACUUUAGUUCCAACCCCUAGAAUUUUAAAAGUUAAAAUUCAACCCUUAUACUUAUAUUAUUAUGAUUUAAUAAUUAUAUAUAUAUGUAUAAGAACAAAGUCGUCUUACCGCUAGUACGCCUCAUUCACGAAGCCGGUCUAUAAGGUGGGUAUAAGGUUGUUGCCUAUAAAAUGGUGACUUAAUGGGUGUCCACUCUCACCCACCGCUUGCUUGAUCGGUGGAGGGUCGUUAGCCGAACGGGUAAGACAAGGACUUAUUAAUUCUCAUUCAAAGUAUG